UUGAAAUACAAAGCAUCGACGCAAACCAGAGAAGGUGUUUUGCAACAAACUGCAGCACCGCAACACAAGUUGAAUGGUACAAAGCAUCUGAAAAAGUAUCAACCAAAACUACAAGAAGAGUUUAUCAAUCGUUACAAACCGGAUCAGCAACAUUGAAUCUUCAAAAUGCAAACAUUGCAGAUGAAGGGUAUUAUAGUUGUCGUUUUAAAAUUGGUCAAACCGACAAAAGUACAACUGAAUCAUAUGAAGUGGCUGGAAAUCCCACACUUCAUCAAAUAUCAAAUAACGUCUGCAACGCUAGCUUGAUCAUCACAUGGCAACCAAAUAAAAAUGCAGUUGGAUUCCCGCACAAAAUAGAAGUGAGUCCGACCUCGAGGGAAUCAACAAGAUGGGUGGAUUCACCAACAUCUGAGAAACAGUCAACCACAAUAACCAGUUUGUCGCCUACCACGACCUAUCA